rnacentral:rRNA from 1 species
UACGGGGGGGGCAAGCGUUGUUCGGAAUUACUGGGCGUAAAGGGCUCGUAGGUGGCCAACUAAGUCAGACGUGAAAUCCCUCGGCUUAACCGGGGAACUGCGUCUGAUACUGGAUGGCUUGAGUUUGGGAGAGGGACGCGGAAUUCCAGGUGUAGCGGUGAAAUGCGUAGAUAUCUUGAGGAACAUCGGUGGCGAAGGCGGCAUCCUGGACCGGUAUUGACGCUGAGGCGCGAAAGCCAGGGGAGCAAACGGG